GUCCAGGUGGCGAAGUGGUGAACGCGGCGGUCUGCAAAACCGCUAUCCGCGGGUUCGAUUCCCGCCCUGGACU
rnacentral:tRNA from 2 species